rnacentral:misc_RNA from 1 species
GCCCAGUACUUCUCCUCAAUCCUGUAAGAUUAUCUUCUUGAACUGAAACACCGGCAUGUUAUAUGUUUGUCUGUCUGCAUGCUUGUUUUAUUUCUAACCUGUUGAUUUGUGGUUGUGAGAUUCUUAAUGUUCUCAAUUUUGCAAAUGUUCAAUCUGUUCCUUUUUUUUAUGCAACUUGUCCGUACAAUUUCUUCUCCCUUCCCCUUCUUCUGGCUACAUAAAUACCUCUUUAUGUUAGUCUAAUGCAUUAAAUUUG